GAUGAACGCUGACGGCGUGCCUAAUACAUGCAAGUCGAGCGAACGGACGAGAAGCUUGCUUCUCUGAUGUUAGCGGCGGACGGGUGAGUAACACGUGGAUAACCUACCUAUAAGACUGGGAUGACUUCGGGAAACCGCAGCUAAUACCGGAUAAUAUUUUGAACCGCAUGGUUCAAAAGUGAAAGACGGUCUUGCUGUCACUUAUAGAUGGAUCCGCGCUGCAUUAGCUAGUUGGUAAGGUAACGGCUUACCAAGGCAACGAUGCAUAGCCGACCUGAGAGGGUGAUCGGCCACACUGGAACUGAGACACGGUCCAGACUCCUACGGGAGGCAGCAGUAGGGAAUCUUCCGCAAUGGGCGAAAGCCUGACGGAGCAACGCCGCGUGAGUGAUGAAGGUCUUCGGAUCGUAAAACUCUGUUAUUAGGGAAGAACAUAUGUGUAAGUAACUGUGCACAUCUUGACGGUACCUAAUCAGAAAGCCACGGCUAACUACGUG
rnacentral:rRNA from 1 species